UGGCUCUGCCGGGGCUGCUCCUGAACAGACUGGCUCAGGAAAAGUCUUUAAUUGGGUUGCUGCAGUUCUGUGCCAUCCAUGUGGCCCUUCCAGGUGUCUCAGAGCUGACCCAAGAAUGCUGAGCCUUGUUCUGCCACAGAUUCCAGCUGGGGGCAGAAAUCCUUCUGAGAUUCUUCUCCAGCAAAUCACUUCUGGGAGAGGGGAGAGGCAAAAAGAGGAGCUGGCAGAGCCAAGGAGGGGCUGCAGGGCUGUGCUGGAGCUGCCAGCUCCUUGAGGGGUGCCAGCCUGGCCUGGAGCAGCAGGGAGGGGGAGAAAUGCCAAGGGAAGAUAAUGAACAGCAGCCCGAGCUCCUGAACUGCCUCCUGCCCUGCCUGAGGUGCCUGGGCAGAUCCUGCCCUGGCUGCUGCUCAGUCACUGCCCUGGGGCACUGAUGGCAGCUUUGAUCUCAUUCCUGGCUGGACCACAGAUUUCAUGUCUUGGUGAAGAGGAGGCCCUGAAGAAGAGAGCUCUGAAUCAUAAGAAAUUGGAAACUUGGGGAAAUAAAGCAGCUCAGGUUUCCUGAGUGUGGAUGCUCUGAGGUGUUGAGAGCAUUUCUGAGAUGGAUUCUCUGCUUGGAGAGGAGCUCAGCUGAUUCUUUCAUUCCUUCCAUGUCACUUUUCCCUCUGCCAUCGUCCCCCGAGCUCAGCUGUAACACUUUGUCCAUCCAUUACAGCUCAUUAAAAAUUCAGGAUGAAUCCUGCUUUUCAUUGUGCAGCUUCAAAAUUCACCCCACACCUGAGAAAAGUGAUCACAGAAUGUCAUUUCCUCAGUUUUCAGUGUUUGCAAACCAAAAGAACAGCAGCCACAGAAAAUUUGUGGCACAUUAACCCCAAACUGUUGGAAAUUGAGGAGGUGCUCCUAGGAUGACUCUCUCCUGUGAACAGGCAGCACCCCUCACCCUUUCAUUAAUAAAUAAAUAAUAAAUUUCCAGCAAUCUCAGGAGCUGGCACUCUUUUGUCCUGUCUAACUGCUGAAGCAAGAUUUUAAACUUCUUUAUGGAAUUAUUUUAUCUAACUGCAUGAAAAUAUUCCAAUAGAGGAAAAACCCAGCAUGGUGUCUUUCUUCUGUGGGAGCUUUUAGCCCCAGGUCUUCAUCUUGUUGCUUUGUGAACACAAUCCCUGAGGGGAAAAAAAAAAAAACUCAGGAAAAAUAAUUUUAAAAAAACCCCAAUUAUUGAUGCUUCCUGCUUAACUCAGGACAG